UGGCAAUCGUGGUUUGUCUCCGGCCUAAAUUGGAAAAUUUCUAUUGCAAUUCACUAUUUACAACUUGUUUCAUUUGUUGUGCUCCAACAAGGUCCUUUACGUAAAGUUCAUUUUUGGGUUGUCAAUUUUCAGAAUGUUUAGAUGGAAAGUAGCAAUCAGACUUGUCAAUAGGAAAAUAGCUAGUAAUAUUUUUGUCGUGUGCCUGAAAUAGGUUCUCCAAGUGUAUACAAAGAUUUGGGGAUUAUUAUUUUCACAAAAUAAUGUGAAAUGUUUAUGCUGUAAUCAUUCUGACAUGGAUUUUAGCAGGACUCUCUGGUUUGACAUUUUGCUUUAAACUCCAAGACAAUGGAAACUGAAUGAUAUCUUUCCAUUCCCAAUCCAACAUCUUACACAGCCCAAUAAUGACAACACAUUUAAGGAUUAUACGAACUAUUUGCAUAACAAUUGUAACUAAAAGAGGCUGAAUCAAACAUAUGGAGCAAAAAAAUUGGAAUACAAAUGGGAUUAUAAUGAUCACCUUCAAAACUUAAUUAAACAUCAACUUGACAGCAUCAUUACAAAAAGAUAAAAAAGUAACAUUGAUAAGAAAUUGUUAAAAUGAUGAUUCUCUGAUAUACUUGAUGUUUGAACACAACAUGCUUACACGAUGGGUGUUUCAGAAGAUUCUCAUUGUUGGUUUAACAUCAAUCUUGACAUGGAGUACCUAUUAAAGCAAGAGAAAGGACAUUACAUAGCAGAAAUAGAGAGAAACAAGACCAAAAUAAAGAUCAAAUUAAUUAAUGAAUAUAAGUAUCCAUUCUACUAAUUCUUUUACCAUAUUACGACUUUUGCUUUACGUUAUGGGGACAUUCCAAAGUAAAAGUUACAGAAUAAAAAUGUAUUGUCUUACAAUUAUACAGUAACAGAAUAUUAGUAACACCGUCAAUCAUAAACAUGAAAGGAAAAAACACAUGAGCUUAAAAAUCUCUAGCAAUGAGCCAUAUGUUGUACACAAGAAUAAUAUGUUUAUUUCACUUCAAUUUUCAACUUAUAAAACUAAAAACAAAAAAUUGGUAUGACAAAGGUUUUGGUGACAUUGUCCUUGGCAGGAACUUGAUAUGGCAGAGGCUUCAAGAAAGGUUUGGGCAUAAGAUCAAUAGAUAGGUAAACAACUUUCUUAAUGUCAUUUAAACGUGUUGCGUCAGAAUCAGAGUUGAAAAUCAUUCAAAUGAUUUCAAACAAGACAGAGGAAGAUUCUUGCAUGGUUUUGGCAAAUCUUCAAAUUCAUCCAAUAGAAAAUGUUAAGAGGAAUUCUUUCCAACUCAAUCUCACAAUCUUUUCCACAUAAGCAAUCGAUUCAUCGAUAUCAGCCCCUGGAUUUUCAUUCAAGUGGAGCAAUACAAGAUUCAUUUUUCUAUCUGCAUUUUCCCUCUGUAGUUUCAAAUAAAAUUGAGAAUUUUUAGUCAUUAACAAACUUAAAAAGCAUAUACAUUGCAUGCAAGAAAAUUUUCCAUUAUCAAUUACUUGAUAGCUCCGAGUGUCAUUCAACAAUCGUAUUAUAGCCAUGAGCAAUUUCGUGACUUUCUUAUAUUUUGCAGUCUUGAGCUUUUCAUUUGCUGCUAUGCCGAAUUCAAUAAACGUGCGGCUAGAAGAGCAAGGGCAUGUGCGGAAAUUGAUAUCAUCCCAGUUUGAAGAUAUUCAUCCAAUGAAGAUCGAACCAUGAACGAAG
rnacentral:lncRNA from 1 species